UUCAGGGAGGACGAAAGAAGAAAGGAUUUGGACUUGAGGGGACAAACGCAAAACAUUGAGCAUCUAACAGUCAAAAAUGCUCAAUUGGAGAGUGACCUUCAAUCAAAAAAUGAUAUCAUCAUUGAACUGCAGACCCAAUUGGAAAACUCCCAUCGAUUUGAGAGCUACUCUGUUUAUGAAUCUGUGGAUCAAGAUCAAGCUCAGCCCAAAGGAAGUCGCUGGUCUAAUUGUUGCCGGUGUGUCAAGUGCUCAAUAGUCAUUGCCAUCAUUCUGGCAAUGUCUUUAGCCUCAUUUGUUGUCAUUCCCUUAAAAGUGAUAUUUACUUCCUCUGAUAUGUAGCAUAAACACGGAAUCCAG